rnacentral:rRNA from 1 species
UACGUAGGGGGCAAGCGUUGUCCGGAAUCAUUGGGCGUAAAGAGCGCGUAGGCGGCCCAGUAAGUCCGCUCUGAAAGUCAGGGGCUCAACCCCUGAAUGCGGGUGGAUACUGCUGGGCUAGAGUCCGGAAGAGGCGAGUGGAAUUCCUGGUGUAGCGGUGAAAUGCGUAGAUAUCAGGAGGAACACCGAUGGCGAAGGCAGGUCUCUGGGCCACUACUGACGCUGAGAAGCGAAAGCAUGGGGAGCGAACAGG